UUCAACAAAUAUUAGUAGAAAAAUCCUCAAGGCCAGACAACAGGACAAGCCCCCAACUUAGUAAUAAAGACAGGAAAAUAUUUAUUGGGGAUGAUAUAAAAUAAUUUCCAUAGGCCCAUUAUAGUAAAGAGCCCAAGGCUGGUAUGAGGAAAGCAUGAAUAGAGUUUUGCAAUGGAACUAAACUACAGGUAAAACUCCAGGUUGGAAUAUAAAUGUUCUUUCUUAUAUCUGAAAUGAGGGUAAGAUUAAAGAAAGGCUGGGCAUUGAGUUUCUGUUCUUCUUUAGCGUACUCCAGUAUAAGGCAAGAAACAUUCACAUACAUAUGCAAAAAAGGGAAGGGGAUUCUAACUGCAGACUCCCUGGCAUCUAAGUCUCAGAUAUUGUUGGAACAAUAGGAACCCAUCGAUACCAUCAGACCUAUGAGCAUAGUUGUUAUUGCUUCCAAGAUCUGCUGAUGUCACAGCUUGUGAGGUGUGUGACUGUGCACUUUCUAAAUACAGGCUGCCCUCUUACUGCCAUCUUACCCAACAAGGCUCAUUGGUAAGAUAGCAAACACAGGAGGCCAAUAAACCCCUGCAAAAUAAGAUCUACAUUUUUAUCUCGUCUGUCCUUUGACUCUGCAUGACUUGAAGAAACUGGGUAGUAGAUUCUGUUGGGAAGUUUUCCAAAUAGGAAGAACAAGCCAAGCAAAAUACAGAAUGACCUUUCUUUCAAGAACCUUUUUUUUUUUUUUAAGUAUUCACUUGAAAAGACACCAAGGCAUCCUUCCUCUACUCUCUCCAUUCCUACUCCAACCACAGCAAUUGCCUGUCUACAGAAAUAACACUUAAGAAGUGGUUGGGAAAUGAAUGUGACGCCUGCCAUCCUGGGCUGGUGCUCACACACCCCCCACAGUCUGGAAAGUCUUGGUCCUCAUAAAUCUCAUGUGCUGUGUCCUUGCUGCCAUGCCAAUGUUCUAUUUCAAGGUCUACUACUCUGUCCCUACAUAAUAAAGAGUCAUUAAUUAUCCCAUGUUCACACUAGUCAUCAUUACUGGGGUCUGGCUUUCAAGUCUGACUUAGCAUUUCAUCUAGUAACAGCAUUUUAGGGAUUAAACUUUCUUAGAUUUACAUUCCAAUGUAAAUAUUACCAUGUACUCAAAAUGCAAGUAAGUCUAACUUUUAACAAAUAAUACUCUCACUGUUACUUAGCAAAUCAAGAAAUAAACAUUUUAACAGCUGAAAUUUUGUCUGUUACAUCUUUUUUAAAUAGAAAAAAACUGUCUAUUGAAUAAUAAAUAUUUUAUUAUUAAUUUUAUUUUUAAAAAUAAUGCUGUUAAUGCUAGAAAGGAUGUAAAAGUUGCACAACCCUUUUACAAUUGUAAAACCCUUUGAUUUCUUAGAUGUGAAAACUUUCAUAGUAAUAAUACAUUAUUUAAUAAAAAUGGAGAACCCAAAUCCCUAUACACUGUUAUCAAUGAGCCUGUGACUCUUGUGUGAAUGACUGAAAACCACUCUGUAUUUGGAGAUCUUUCUGCCAGGGAUGCUUAUUUCUCUUCUCAUCUGAGGUCUGGCAGUUGAUGGAAUAGACAGAGACUGCCCAACUAUGGCCACAGGGUAGGAUUCCUCUGCAGAAUAAAGAGAACUUGUGGACCCAAAGAGAAGGAUUCCUCCUAGAUCAAGCCUCGCCGGAAAAUUCCACUUUAAUCCAUGAAUCAGAGGGAAAAACUGGAGCCAGCCCUGUCUGAAAGUCUAGCAGUUCCUAACCAGUGCUGAGCCUGUGCAACUCACAGUCUAGUAGGAAGUCGCUGUGGCAUCAGCUGACAAGUUGAGUCUUGCUUAAAACAAAUUCUGUCGGAGCCAUGGUGAUUUCUUGGUUCUUCCAGGACUUGGGGAGGACUUCAGAGAAAAGGCAAAAAUGCUGAGCAUGAAAUUAUUCUGAAGACACGGAACGCAUGGAGAAAGAGUCCCUACUCCCCACUCCCGAAGCAGGAACUCUUGGCUUUUCAAUUUCGUAUUCUCCAUCCAGAGAAAUUCCCAAGGAGGCACCACACUCCCAGUUCUCCCUUUUUCCUUGCAUUCCCAACAGCUACACAGAACUAAGAAAAAGCUGUCAUUGCGAGGGUGGAAGAGAAGAUCUUGAAAUACUCAUCAUCGUGUUUUCUUCUCAGCACUUCCUGUCCUUUCCCCUAGUGGGCAGAAGGAUCCACUUGGCCUGAAGAAGAAUUAGAGCUGUUAUGACUGGAAGGCCGAGGGAAAGGAAAAGUUAUUGUUCUGAAGUUUUGUUUCCACCCAGGCUCAGGACGAAAGGCAGAUCAGAGAGUUUCUGCUCAAAGAUUUGUGGGCGGCCACUACCAGGAGGGCUGCUGUGAAUCUGGCUGGCUCCUGUCACGAGCACACGACUCUGCCCCCUCACUUGUUUUUUUUCCUUAGGGCUGGGCAGGGGCCUCCCAUGACCCAUUCUCACAUUGACGCACAUGAUCCUCCGUGACUCCAGAAUGUGCUGAGCCCAUCUGAUUGCCCCUUGUGGAUGGCCUUUGUGUCAAUAAUCCACGACCCUUACAAAACCUACCUCCCACCCCUGGAAAGAGAAGGCUGAAUCCUUGACCCCAGAGGGUGGUGUUAGUGAGGGAAGAGAUCCAGCAACACUUGGUGAUUCAGAAAUCCAGUGCUCACUGACAAUGAGUGGGUGGACGCGUGGGCCUGCAGACCUGCCUGCUGUUCCAUUAACAGCAGAACACACUUCGAGAGGCAACUGACAAUGGAGGCAACAACAACAACAAAAGCAGUAUUUUUCCAACCAUAAAAAAAGAAGUCUGUUUCUGAAAACA